UCCAGACUCCUACGGGAGGCAGCAGUGAGGAAUAUUGGUCAAUGGGCGAGAGCCUGAACCAGCCAAGUCGCGUGAAGGAUGAAGGAUCUAUGGUUUGUAAACUUCUUUUAUAUGGGAAUAAAGUGAGGAACGUGUUCCUUUUUGUAUGUACCAUAUGAAUAAGCAUCGGCUAACUCCGCGCCAGCAGCCGCGGUAAUACGGAGGAUGCGAGCGUUAUCCGGAUUUAUUGGGUUUAAAGGGUGCGUAGGUGGUUAAUUAAGUCAGCGGUGAAAGUUUGUGGCUCAACCGUAAAAUUGCAGUUGAAACUGGCAGUCUUGAGUACAGUAGAGGUGGGCGGAAUUCGUGGUGUAGCGGUGAAAUGCUUAGAUAUCACGAAGAACUCCGAUUGCGAAGGCAGCUUACUAAACUAUAACUGACACUGAAGCACGAAAGCGUGGGGAUCAAACAGGAUUAGAUACCCCUGUA
rnacentral:rRNA from 1 species